AUUGAACGCUGGCGGCAUGCCUUACACAUGCAAGUCGAACGGCAGCACGGGUGCUUGCACCUGGUGGCGAGUGGCGAACGGGUGAGUAAUACAUCGGAACAUGUCCUGUAGUGGGGGAUAGCCCGGCGAAAGCCGGAUUAAUACCGCAUACGAUCUCCGGAUGAAAUCGGGGGACCUUCGGGCCUCGCGCUAUAGGGUUGGCCGAUGGCUGUUUAGCUAGUUGGUGGGGUAAAGGCCUACCAAGGCGACGAUCAGUAGCUGGUCUGAGAGGACGACCAGCCACACUGGAACUGAGACACGGCCAAGACGCCUACGGGAGGCAGCAGUGGGGAAUGUGGGACAAUGGGCGAAAGCCUGAUACAGCAAUGCCGCGUGUGUGAAGAAGGCCUUCGGGUUGUAAAGAACGUUUGUCCGGAAAGAAAUCCUUGGCCCUAAUACGGUCGGGGGAUGACGGUACCGGAAGAAUAAGCACCGGCUAACUACGUG
rnacentral:rRNA from 1 species